AGGGUUCGAUCCUGGCUCAGGAUGAACGCUAGCUACAGGCUUAACACAUGCAAGUCGCGGGGCAGCAUGAAGGAUGCUUGCAUUCUUUGAUGGCGACCGGCGCACGGGUGAGUAACGCGUAUCCAACCUGCCCCUUUCCCCGGCACAGCCCGUAGAAAUGCGGAUUAAUGCCGGAUGCGGUCGUGUGACGGCAUCAGAGCACGACGAAAGGAGCGAUCCGGAAAGGGAUGGGGAUGCGUCCGAUUAGCUUGACGGCGGGGUAACGGCCCACCGUGGCGACGAUCGGUAGGGGCCCUGAGAGGGGAAUCCCCCACAUUGGGACUGAGACACGGCCCAA
rnacentral:rRNA from 1 species